rnacentral:lncRNA from 10 species
UCAGGGCUCUGGUUUCAUUUUUCUACUUAUUUCUCAGUUUCACCCUGUUAGGUCUGGGAUUUGAUUUUACUGUCUUUACAGGCUACUAAAUUAGCUUGUUACUGUUUCAUAGGUGCUGGAAGAACAUAUUAAACUUCUGGGUCAGAGACAAAGAACUUUACUACUCAGGGCUCUGCAAGCAGCAGAAACAUCAGCAUGUUUGCAUCAGUUCACCUUGCCCCAAGCCCCAUAAGGGUGACACAAUAUGACCCAGAUGGAUGCUACACACACAGAGGGUUGCUUGCUAUAAACAUAAUCCUGAGAAAUGGCUCAGGAAAAAAGGCAUCAGGACGUUGCAUUCUGGCAUACCCAGAAAGACAUAUAGAAGCACUAGAGACCCAUGAAGGACUGACUGUCUCUCCCAACACACCUUGUGGUGGUUUUGUCUUCACAUUGGCUUUCUCCAUUGGCUGCAAAUCAGUAUCCAUGGAGAAGAGGCCUUGCCCUGACGGCAAUCCAGAGAAGUCUUGAGCUUCCCUGUGAUUGGAGCAUACAUGAAUUAAUCACUCAGGCCAAGGAAAUCUCCUUGAUUUUGGCUCAGGUUUUGUACCUAUCUCUGUGUUAAGGAGGAAUAAUUACUCUGAUUGCCUUAGAUCAACACUGCUGGGGUGGGAGGAUCAAUUCUACCUAAACCAAUAGCUACUAACCAAUGGGAAAUAGAAUGUUAGGGAGGUGGCCACUACCUAUUCCACACGGUCUCUAAGGUGUAUAAUUGAGGAAUUUUGGUCUAUUUCAAAUGUUCCAAGUCUA